rnacentral:rRNA from 1 species
ACCAUGAGUCGACGGUCUUUUAGGAGACAGUGGCGGACGGGUGAGUAACGCGUAAGAAUCUACCUUCAGGUUGGGGACAACCACUGGAAACGGUGGCUAAUACCGAAUGUGCCGAGAGGUGAAAGGCUUGCUGCCUGAAGAAGAGCUUGCGUCUGAUUAGCUAGUUGGUAGUGUAAGAGACUACCAAGGCGACGAUCAGUAGCUGGUCUGAGAGGAUGAUCAGCCACACUGGGACUGAGACACGGCCCAGACUCCUACGGGAGGCAGCAGUGGGGAAUUUUCCGCAAUGGGCGAAAGCCUGACGGAGCAAUACCGCGUGAGGGAGGAAGGCUCUUGGGUUGUAAACCUCUUUUCUCAGGGAAGAACAGAAUGACGGUACCUGAGGAAUAAGCAUCGGCUAACUCCGUGCCAGCAGCCGCGGUAAUACGGAGGAUGCAAGCGUUAUCCGGAAUGAUUGGGCGUAAAGGGUCCGCAGGUGGCAUUGUAAGUCUGCUGUUAAAGAGUUUGGCUCAACCAAAUAAGAGCAGUGGAAACUACAAAGCUAGAGUGUGGUCGGGGCAGAGGGAAUUCCUGGUGUAGCGGUGAAAUGCGUAGAUAUCAGGAAGAACACCAGUGGCGAAGGCGCUCUGCUAGGCCGAGACUGAGACUGAGGGACGAAAGCUAGGGGAGCGAAUGGGAUUAGAUACGCCAGUAGUCCUAGCCGUAAACGAUGGAUACUAGGCGUAUCUUGUAUUGUACCCAGCUCGCCGUACCUCACGAAUUAAGUAUCCCCCGGGGGAGUACGCAGGCAACUUUGAAACUCAAUGGAAUGGACGGGGCCCGCACCAUCGCUGCAGAAUGGGGUGUAAUUGGAUGCAACGCGAAGAACCUUACCAAGGCUUGACAUGUCACGAAUCCUAUUGAAAGAUGGGAGCGCCUUCGGGAGCGUGAACACAGUUAGCGCAUGGCUGUCUUCAUCUCGUGUCGUUUGAGAAAAGAGAAGUCCAACCCAACAGCGCACUCCUCCUUUUUGGUGGGGUCCAUCAGGCUUUGGCCUCACCACAGAAAAUUCCCCCCAAACCCUCCCGGAGAGGAUGGUCUCAAAAUCAGCAUACCCUGCGUGUUUUCCUCCACACAGGCACUACAAUGUUAGGGACAAAGGGCAGCUACACAGCGAUGUGAUGCGAAUUUCGUAAACCGUAGCUCAGUUCAGAUCGAAGGCUGCAACUCGCCUUCGUGAAGGAGGAAUCGCUAGUAAUUGCAGGUCAGCAUACUGCAGUGAAUUCGUUCCCGGGCCUUGUACACACCGCCCGUCACACCAUGGAAGUUGGUCACGCCCGAAGUA